GAUGAACGCUGGCGGCGUGCCUAAUACAUGCAAGUCGAACGGGGAGUAGCAAUACUCUUAGUGGCGAACGGGUGAGUAACGCGCUGGUACCUGCCCCGAAGCGGGGGAUAACGGACCGAAAGGUCCGCUAAUACCCCAUGUGCUCGGUAACGAGUAAAGGUGAAAACCACUUUGGGAGGGGCCUGCGUCCCAUCAGCUAGUUGGUAAGGUAACGGCUUACCAAGGCGAUGACGGGUAGGGGACCUGAGAGGGUGGCCCCCCACAAUGGAACUGAAACACGGUCCAUACACCUACGGGUGGCAGCAGUAGGGAAUAUUGGUAAUGGGCGCAAGCCUGAACCAGCAACGCCGCGUGUGCGAUGACGGCCUUCGGGUUGUAAAGCACUUUUGACUGGGACGAGGAAGGACGGUACCGGUCGAAUCAGCCUCGGCUAACUACGUG
rnacentral:rRNA from 1 species